rnacentral:tRNA from 1 species
GCCUGGGUGGCUCAGUCGGUUGAGCAGCUGACUUCGGCUCAGGUCACGAUCUCGCGGUCCGUGAGUUCGAGCCCCGCUUCGGGCU